AGCAGCCGCGGUAAUUCCAGCUCCAAUAGCGUAUAUUAAAGUUGUUGCAGUUAAAAAGCUCGUAGUUGAAUUUCGGGGUUAGUAGGUUGGUCAUGCCUCUGGUAUGUACUGGUCUCACUGAUUCCUCCUUCCUGAUGAGCCGUAAUGCCAUUAAUUUGGUGUUGCGGGGAAUUUGGACUGUUACUUUGAAAAAAUUAGAGUGUUUAAAGCAAGCUAACGCUUGAAUACAUUAGCAUGGAAUAAUGAAAUAGGACGUUCGAUCCUAUUUUGUUGGUUUCUAGGAUUGGCGUAAUGAUUAAUAGGGAUAGUUGGGGGCAUUAGUAUUCAAUUGUCAGAGGUGAAAUUCUUGGAUUUAUUGAAGACUAACUACUGCGAAAGCAUUUGCCAAGGAUGUUUUCAUUAAUCAAGAACGAAAGUUAGGGGAUCGAAGACGAUCAGAUACCGUCGUAGUCUUAACCAUAAACUAUGCCGACUAGGGAUCGGAUGAUGUUAAUUUUUAAUGUACUCAUUCGGCGCCUUA
rnacentral:rRNA from 1 species